rnacentral:rRNA from 1 species
UCCUACGGGAGGCAGCAGUUGGGAAUAUUGCGCAAUGGGCGACAGCCUGACGCAGCGACGCCGCGUGAUCGAAGAAGCCCCUCGGGGUGUAAAGAUCUUUUUUAGGGGACGAUUGUGACGGUACCCUAAGAAUAAGAGCCUGCUAACUACGUGCCAGCAGCAGCGGUAAUACGUAGGGCUCGAGCGUUAUCCGGAUUUAUUGGGCGUAAAGAGCAUGUAGGUGGGAACUCAAGUCGAAUUUCAAAGUCCGAGGCUUAACUUCGGUUCUGGAUUCGAUACUAGGUUCCUUGAGGAUAGUAGGGGUAAGCGGAAUUCCCGGUGUAGCAGUGAAAUGCGUUGAUAUCGGGAAGAACACCGAUGGCGAAGGCAGCUUACUAGACUAUUCCUGACACUGAGAUGCGAAAGCGUGGGGAGCGAACGGGAUUAGAUACCCCGGU